CUCUUGGCCAAUGCUUUGCUGUCUGCUGACGUACAGUCCAAUCACAAGUCGUAUUUAUCUGAAAGGUGGGAUUGACCGACUGCUCCGCCAAUGACAAAAGCGCACAGGAUACGCAAACAGAGAAUGCGCAGAUUUCUGGCCACAAGACGUCCCGGAUGGCUUGCGGUCUGGUUCUAAAAUAAGGUUACCAACUUUUCGCUGGAAUUCACCGUACAAUUGCCAUCAGUCUGCGUAUAAAUAACACGACUUUACACUUUCUAGUUGCGUGUAAUGCAUACGCCAAAUGCCAUUUUUGCGUGCAUAUGAUACGCCAAUACUUCACAUUAAUUUCGGUGGAGAGCAGAUGCGUCCAAAUAACACGCAUCAUCUUCAGCGGCAGUGACGUCACCAGCGAGGCUCGUCCAGUUCACCUGAUGCGCGUACACCUUCAAACAGGUAAGCAAGGUUACGUCGGAUUACAUGCUCCACAACAACCUGUAAUCCAGCAGAUCUUUAAAGAAGCCAUCUCUUGUAAAAUCUCUCUCUCUCUCUCUCUCUCUCUCUCUCUCUCUCUCGCUCUGCUAGAAUUAACAGGGAACUUCAACUCCAUGCUCCCAAUGCUGAUAUUGAAGAAGCUGUCAAGGGGGCUGAACAAGUCCUUCAAAGGUUCAACCCCUCACAGGAAGGCCUGUCAUGAGAUUCGAAUUUGACCAUCUUGUGCAUUUAUGAAGAAGACCAAAAGCUGCAAAGGCAAACACUUGCAAUGGCAGAAACUGAGAAUUUGCAUGAUGGCAUUGAAUCUGAUGUGAUCGCUGAAUCUGAUGUGUACAGAUGAACUCAGGAGCCUACUAGAGUUGCCAAGGAACUUGUGCUUGAACUGAAGACCAGAAACGCAAAAGAAAAUCAGUCAAGCCAGUCCUAAAGAAAUGAGGAGUGAACAUGGACUUCUUGUGCCCCAAAAGAAAAGACAGAAAGCUCCUAAAAUAAGCAAAUAAGCUGUGCAUCAUCUCUGUGAUUUGGGAAGGAAAUGACUGAAUAUGAUGAAGCCAGUUGAUGAAGAUAUCAAUUGAAUGGCCACCGAGUGCAUCACUGCUACCUGAACCCAUCAGUUAUCUGCUGUGAAGACUGCAUUCACAAACCGCUCUACUGCGACAGCUCAGAUGUUAAGGCCUGUAAAAGUAAACAUCACAGCUAAACAACGAGAGCUAGUUGUGGUGGGAUUCUUUUGGCCAAUAUCCCCAACAAGAAUCAAUGACAUCUAGACCAGGUGGAGUGUGAGGAGGACCGUCAGAGACUCCAGCCAGCCGAGCCAUGGAUUGCUCUCACUGUUACCAUCAGGCAGACGUUAUCACAGAACCUACACCAGCAGACAGUGAGACAAGUUCCUUUCACAGGCAAUCAGACUGAACUGAACUCAUACCAGUAAAACCAUAGGCACCCCACCAACCUCAUAUGCCCUGCACUCUUAUCAGUUAUGCUGACUGGACUCAAUAUUAUUAUGCACCUUGACAUUCUGUUUGCACUAAUUCAUACCGUGCUUUACUGCAGAGAUGUAUGUGUACUGUGAUUAUUAUUGUUUUCAAUUCAUGCUCUCUGUAUAGCAUAAUUUUUAACAUAUUGUUCUCUACCUGAAUUGAGUCCCUUAUAUAUGUAUGUUGCAUAUAUAUAUUCAGAAUUUGUAUUUCAUAUAUAUUCAUGAAUUAAUUAAUUUGUCAUCCAUACUGUCACGCUGCAGUCUGCACUCAAGACUUUCACCACCUGUAUACUUGUGUUCAUUGUAUUGUGACAAUAAAGACAUUUGAUUUAAA